rnacentral:rRNA from 1 species
GAUGAGCGCUGGCGGCGUGCCUAAUACAUGCAAGUCGAGCGAACGGACGAGAAGCUUGCUUCUCUGAUGUUAGCGGCGGACGGGUGAGUAACACGUGGAUAACCUACCUAUAAGACUGGGAUAACUUCGGGAAACCGUAGCUAAUACCGGAUAAUAUUUUGAACCGCAUGGUUCAAAAGUGAAAGACGGUCUUGCUGUCACUUAUAGCUGGAUCCGCGCUGCAUUAGCUAGUUGGUAAGGUAACGGCUUACCAAGGCAACGAUGCAUAGCCGACCUGAGAGGGUGAUCGGCCACACUGGAACUGAGACACGGUCCAGACUCCUACGGGAGGCAGCAGUAGGGAAUCUUCGGCAAUGGGCGAAAGCCUGACGGAGCAACGCCGCGUGAGUGAUGAAGGUCUUCGGAUCGUAAAACUCUGUUAUUAGGGAAGAAAAUAUGUGGAAGUAACUGUGGACAUCUUGACGGUACCUAAUCAGAAAGCCACGGCUAACUACGUG